UGGGGAAUAUUGGACAAUGGGGGCAACCCUGAUCCAGCAAUGCCGCGUGUGUGAAGAAGGCCUGCGGGUUGUAAAGCACUUUCAGUAGAGAAGAAAGGCUCAUGGUUAAUACCCGUGAGUCUUGACGUAACCUACAGAAGAAGCACCGGCUAACUCCGUGCCAGCAGCCGCGGUAAUACGGAGGGUGCGAGCGUUAAUCGGAAUUACUGGGCGUAAAGCGCGCGUAGGUGGUUCUGUAAGUCGGAUGUGAAAGCCCAGGGCUUAACCUUGGAACUGCAUUCGAUACUGCAGAACUAGAGUAUGGUAGAGGGAAGUGGAAUUUCCGGUGUAGCGGUGAAAUGCGUAGAUAUUGGGAAGAACACCAGUGGCGAAGGCGCUCUACUGGGCCGCAACUGACGCUGAGGGACGAAAGCUAGGGGAGCGAAAGGGAUUAGAUACCCCCGUAGUCC
rnacentral:rRNA from 1 species